CCGUAGGGUCUGCCUGGUGGAAACCUGAGUCAGGGAAGGACUCAACAAAAGCCAGAGACUCGACCAAUGCAGAGAGAGCACAGGGAACAGGAAGAGGGAGAGCCUCAGGAGCCUUAUCUGGUUGUGCUGUAUCCCCUGCUUGGGGCCCUGUCCUUCUAAAAAACCAGGCUAAGUCUCAAUAAAGGACAGCUCUUUUUGAGUUGGAUCGAAUGCCCAACUCCCCUGACCAAACUGUCCAUGUGUGCACACCACAAGACAUCACCCCCGUCCAAGCAAGAAAGAAGCCCUCAAGUGUGUUAUUCCUUGGUGGUAUCGCUACGAAGAAAUAGCACUUUUACUUCUGAGGCAGAAGUGAGUUUACCCUAAAAAGAAAACAAGGCAGAAAGAUGUGCAGUAUUUGACAUCUCUGGUUCUGCUCAGAAGGCCCUCUGAUAACAGCUCUGCAGCCAACCUUGGGAACAGCCCUCUUGCCAUGGAAGUCUAGGCCCUCCAGAGUGAUGCUAGGACUGUGACCUGGGCUUUGGGUCAUUCACAACUAAAGGACCUGCAGAAGGAUGAGCCUGAAUAAAGCCUCAUCUCUUGCACAGAAUAUGCAAAUAUGCAAGAAUAAGAGCAUCUCUUCCAUUGUAUCAGGACAGCUGGAAUUUUAUGAGCUGACUUUCCAGGUUAUGGCUGGAUGAAGCAUUAAAUACCCCUCACAGGACCAAUUGGUGAGUGAACACCACCCAAGAUGGUACUCUAAACUCUA